rnacentral:lncRNA from 1 species
GCGGCAGCGAGUGAUGGCGGAGCAGCCGCGGGUGUAAGGAUUGACAGGGCCACGAGCUUUGUAGCAGUUAUGAGUGUAGUAAGGGCGGCCGGAGCGGGGUGGGCAAGGGAUCCGGUUGGCGGAGAGGGCACCGUAGGAAAUGUAGUAGUGGACUCGCCUCCAGAAGAGAGAUCUGCGGGGGUCUUGUUGUAGGUCGAGAUCGUCGUCGAGGUCGUCUUCAGUGGGGGAUUGGAUGAGGGAAGUGGUGGUGGGCCAUUCGAGGGCGUCGGCCAUGAGUUUGAGGGAGGUGUCGACGGAGAGGUGGGCGGAGGAGGAAGAGAGGAAGAGGAGGAGGAGGGUGAAGAGGGGGAAGAGGAGGGAUUUGGAAGCCAUUGGAGAUUUGGGGAAGGGAGAGAAGGAGGAGAUGGGGGGGUUUAGAGAGAGAGAGAUGAAUGUCACAUGAAGAUGGAGGAGAAGAGAGUGAGAGUGUGAUUGGAGUACAGCUGUGGUUAAUCAAUGCCCACCUCUUCACUCCUUCCCUACGCGUCCCUCCAUUUUUUUUUUAUUUCUUGUUUUUUAGUGUCGGUUUUCAAAUAUACCAAAAGUAUCGUUAAUUUUCAUAAAUAUAAUUCAACUCUCAAAUAUUUACGGCUUUGGUUUUUUAAAAAAUCGUGUUUUUUAUAAAUUUUAGAUUUAUUUUUGAUAUUUUGAAUGAUUUCUAGUUUAUUCCUAUUCUCUUCUAAAUUUUUUUAGUUUCUCUUUUAGAUUUUCUUCCUUAUAUUUUAUUCAUAUUUUCUUUUCCUUUCUUUAUCUUCUUUUUCUUUAUUUCAGCUCAUCUUUUAGAAUAUCAAGAUCGUUUGAAUAUCACUUUUAUAUGAUCUAAACGAUUGUUUACCUAGUCAUUAAAUGAUCAACACGAUUUUUACCAUUAUAAACACGAUCAAUUAGAUCUGAAGUCAUUUUUUCCAUCGUUUAAAAAGAACUACAUGAUCGUGUGAAUAUGAUCUAAACGAUAAUUUAUUAUAGUUAACAUAAUCGUUUAACACGAUUAACACGAUUGUUUAGAUUUGAAGCAUUUUUUCUAUUAUUAAGAAAAACUACAUAAUCGAGUUGAUACUAUAUAUAUGAUCGUGUAUCAUGAUCGUUUAGAAGAAGAAUUACACGAGCGCAUGUAGUCGAUUAAUCACGUGUCGAUUGGACAUUUUUUGUAUUUUCCAUUAUGUGAGUCUAUCAGCUUUUUCUAUUUUCAAAGUUGUUUUAUACCGUAUAAAUAUUUUGCUAGUUUAUUGUAUUUUUAAAAGAAAAACCCUAAAAAUAAAAUAACACAAAAAUUUCAAUUUUAUUCAAUAUUUUAUAUAUCAUUUUAAUAUCUAACAGUGAGGAUUAUAAUAUUGAUGUCAAUAUCGAUAUCAUAUUUCAAUGUCGAGAUUUAUAAAAUUUAUUUAGACUCUUAAUGAAGUUGUUUUUACUCCAAACCUAAACUAUUAGUAUUUUCAUUAGACUAGAUAGAUAUGAUAUAUUGUGUUUUACGAGUUUGGUCCUUAAAUUUUGGACUUUAUUCUAUUUUAGUUCAACUUUUCGAGUGAAACAAACCUAAAUUAAAAAAGCUAAUUGUUCUCUUUUCUCCAAAAUUGCAUUUCCUCUCGACCAUCGACCCUCGACCCUCUAUUUAUUUAGUUUUUUAAAUUGAAAUCUUAAAUAGAAUCACAAAAUAUCCGAGAUAUUAAAAUUAAAUUUAUAUGUAGAUGAAUUGUAUCUAGUAUAUAAUGACAAUGAGCUAAAACACAGUACUAGAGUUCGAAUAAUUUUUUGAGUUAUUUGAUAAAACAUAAAUUUAACAUCUAGCCUUUAAUUAAAAAUUAAAACUCUAGAUUAUUAAGGGUGAUUACCUUAUUUAGUAGUCUCAACCAAAUAUGGAGCUAAAAGUUUAGAGAUUAAAAUAAAUUUAAAUCUAUAAGAAAAUGUUAGAUAUAUUCACGAAUAUACCAACAUAUAUCUAUGGAUAUUUUAAUCCUCACUAAUAUCAACAUUUCAACUAGUUUUGUUAGUUUUACUUUUUGGUAGGAAAUGGUAAAAAUCAUAAAAGUCAGUCGGUGUUCCCUCGAUUUUCGCUCCAACCUUCGACACCCUGUUGUGACCAGUGACAUAUCCAAAAAAAUUAUAUAGAAGGCAUCAGACACUAUAUAACCCCCAAUAUAAUAAGCAAACUAAAAAAUGUUUAAAAUAAUAUAUUGACGUUUCACUGAUGCUCCAAUAUCAUUCAUUACAUUUCUAGCACUAAAGAAAAGACUAGCAAUUUCCACAAAAUGUGAAUUUAAAAAUUUCAUCAAAAAAGGAAAAAAAAAAACCUUUUUCAUGGAAUAUUGUUGAGAAGGUGAAAAUUUAGAUCACCGACAUUGUUGCAUUUUUUUUCUAAAUAUUUGUUAGAUAACAAGUGAGGGUUAUAAAAUAAGUUAGAGUUUUAUCUUUGAUAAGUUUUUUUUUUUUUCUCUUUUUUAAAAAUUAUUUUCUUUUAGGAAAUCAAAUUAUCUUCCUUUCAGUAAAUCAUUGAAAUUUAGGAAGAAACUUGAUAUUUGGAGAAAGAGGUUUUAUCGUGGAGACACAUGCCUCCUGUCCAUUCUCCUCUCACACCAGCCGUUUGCUCGACAUUUUGUGACAUGAUCGCUCAACUAGGUUUUUAAUCCAAAAACAAAACAAAUAAUUAGUAACUCGGUUUAUUGUGUUGAAUCGCCCAAACUGAUGAAAUAGUUUGGUUCGGUUUUGUUGUGGGUUCGUGGGGUUUGAUUUUCCAAUAUAAUAAACCAAGUAAAUCCGUUUCGAAACCCAUCUUAGUUUAAAAUCAACUCGAACCAAUGCUCAUCCCUAUAAUUUGUAUAAUAUUCCUUUUAAAGAUCAUUUCUCCAAACUUAAAAUGUGUUUGAAUUGACUUGGUAAAAAGAAUAUUUAUUAACACGGGAAGAAACUAUCCAAAGGGACCUAAUUCUUUCCUCCGAAUUUAUUCGGAUUGAAGUGAGAGAAUUAAAGGAAUGGAAUCAUUUAUUGCUAAAUAAUGCAUGUCCCUUAGGUGGCAUUUUUUGUUCAUUAUUUAAAGGCCGAAUUUACGAUUUUACCUACCCUCCAAAGCCAAUGCCCAUAAUUAUUAUUUCUUUCUUUAUGUAUUUUUUAAAUCAAAAUUAAAAAAAAAGGACAAUAAAUACCAGAUUUCAUAACUCAAUUAAAUAAUUAAACCAUAAUUUCUUUUUGGAAUAAGUUUUUAUUUUGUGGAAUUAAAUAAUUAUAUUACAUAACUAGAUUUCAUAUUGUUUUAUAUACAUCUUAACUUGAUCAUGGACUAAAUUCUAAAUUUGCUUCUUUCAUAUAUAUAUAUAUACACCUACUUUCUGUUACAUAUUAUUAAAUGAUUGGGUUGAAAUGUGUUGAUUUGGUGUUUCCAUCGAAUCUAUCAUUUAUAAACUUUCUAAUCUUUAAAGGUAUUGUUUUUUAAUUUAUGAAUUAGAGUAAUCUCUAAUAAAAGUUUUCUUUCUCUACUCAUGGACGCAGUAGUUAAAAUUGUGUGUUGAGUCUUGGUAGUUUUUCGUUUUUCGUUAUUCGACAAUAUAGAAAUAUUAGUUUGUAUUUAUAUUGGUACACUUAAUUAAGAAAAAUUGUUUUAAAUGGUAAAACUAUUGAAAAUAUUUUCAAAUGUAGCAAAAUGUCACUAAAAGAUAUUAUUGUCUAUCACACAUAAACAUUGACAUUUUAAUAUAUUUGUAAACAACACAAAAACUAAUAUAAAAAUUCAAUAAAUAGUCACCCUCAUUUAAAAUUGGCCAACCCAAUAUGCCACGUCAUUUUUCAACGGUCAAGUUAACUCGAUGACUUAUUUACAAGUACUUUCCAAGCUCAUAGACUAAUUAAAGUGUUUGUUAAAACUUAAUUAAAAGACCAAUUAAGCACCAAGUUCCUUAAUGAUGAUUGUGUUAUUAGGGUGCUCACCUAGUGGAGAUACACAGGUACACUUAGCUUAUUGACCCCAUCUCAUAUCUUAUUCUAAAAUUGAACACUAACUUCAAACCCGAACAACUCGUAUCUUCGAUUUUUCUACCAACAUCCAACACACACUUCAUAUUUAUUUAUUGUAAAUAUGUGUCUAAAACUAUGCAAUUUUUUUUUUUUAGUUUUAUAAAAAAAAUAACAAAACUGCAAAAUAUUUAUACGAUAUAAUACAAUUUCGAAAACGGAAAAAACCAACAGACCCACAAUAAAAAAUACAAAAAAAUUCCUCAUUAUUAACUGGAGCCAAUGCGCCUAAUAUAUUUAAUAAAUGAUCGUUUAGAUUUGACUAUUCUUUGUUACAUGAUGUUUUUUCAAUAUUUUUUUGUAUAUGAUCAUUUAGAUGACUACCCAAAUCUGAACGGUUUUUUUAAAGAUUCAUUAUAAAUGUUUUUGGCUAUUUUUUCCAAAUGAUCUUGAUAUUUUUGGUACAAGAUCAUUUUGAUUUGACUAUCCAAUAUUUCAAUAAUUUUUUUCACGAUCUUGAACCAAAUAACUGUUUGAAAAAAAAACAAAAAUAAAAGUUGCAGAACAAAGAACAUCAAAGGAAAAGAAACCCUGAAAUAUUGUAAAAAAUAGCCGGCUUCAUAAGCUUUUUGAUUUUGACACGAACUGUAAAUAUUUUGGUGUUUUGUUAUAUUUAUGAAAAUUAACUUUUUUGUUUGUUUGUUUAAAGUCCAAAUUUAAAUUUUAUUCUAGAGAUUAAUAGUAUGUUUUUUAUUACAUUUUUAAAUUUUAAAUUUAGAAAAUAAGUUAUUUUGAAAAAAAUUAGAGCGUUAACACUCAAAAUAUAUUUAUUUUAAAUGUAUUUUAUAGUUUUUUUUUUAUAAAAAAGUUUAAACAAAAAUAAGUUUGGAAACAUUUGUUCUUAUGUGCUUUAUUUGUGGUUGUAUUAGUGAAGAUUUGGGAGAUCGAAAAAGUGGGCAACGUUCGAGUUUAAAGGUUUGGAAAAAAUAAACAUAUUAUCCAUCCCAUCCCAAAAUCAAAUAAGUGAAAGAAUAUUCCAUUUCUAUCUCAAACUAAUUUGACAAUCUCAUAUUCAUACAAAUUUCAAUACUUAUCCAAAUUUCAAUACUUAUCCUGGAAAAAAGAUUUAUAAGAAAUACAUUUUUUUUAAAAAGAUAUUUUGGAUCGGUAGGUGCACUCGGACAUCUUCACUAGAUGAACAUUUUUUUAGCAUUCUCAUCAUCCAUGUUUCAUUAAUAUAUAUAUAGCAAGACAAUAUCGAAGAAGUAAGAAAAAAGGGUUAGAGACAAGCCCAAAGCAAGAACAAAGAAAUUAGAAAGCAUUAAGAUUAGUGGUGAUAAAGCUAGAGCUAUAAUUAGAAAAUAGAGGGGAUCUGCUAGUCCAAAAUUUGGAUAGAGCACAUAUGUCUUUCCAAAGGUUUAUAGUUGAGUUGUUCUUCUCUUUGAAGAUUCGAUUAUUACUUUCCAACCAUAUUUUUCAGAGCACAGUCGAAAUAGUGUUGAACUUGAUAAUACCUUUCUUGUUCUUUUGGUUAAUGAUGCAGAGGUCCAAGUAAAGAGAAGAGAUACUAUUAUGUUGUAUCUUUCAUCCAAGCAGAUUUUUCGAUCUUCAUCCACAAAUAUUUGAUAAAACUGUAGUUGGUAAAUAUAUGGUCGAUGUCUUCAGAACUUUGAUGACAUAACGAGCACCAAUUAGGAUUGAGGUAAAGGGAAGGAAUCUUCCUUUAAACAACAUCAUUUGUAUUUAAGCAAUAGUGGAUAAGAGACUAUAUGAAAAAUCUACAUCUCUUAGGUAUCUUUGCUUUCCAUAGUUGUUUAAAGACCUCGCAAAGUUGUCUGUAUUCUGAUUGGCGCUUUGGUAUAUGUUAUUUUUUGCCUUUUUUUAUUGAUGCAAUGGUGAAAACACCAUUUGAUCAGUUUAGCUUCCAUAUGGGGAUAUCUUUGCCUCUGCUCACGUUUGGGCUAGGAAGAGAAUUUUUUUAUAUCAUCCCACGGCUAAUGAGGGGAUGUUCCAAGAGUCAUUAAUAGAGCUAUUUUGUACAGUGGAUAGUACAAACAAUCUGGGAACUCGAAGACAUAAAGGGCCAUUUGUAUUCCAAUUUAUAAGGAACGUUUUUUGAUAUAAAAAAAUGAUUUAAAGUUACAUACAAAUAUAACAAAAUUUUACUUUACUAUCAUAUAAACAUGUAUAACUUAAAUAUCAAUAGAUAUAUAUUUGAGUCUAUAUAUAAUCUUAAUGAGUUAGUAGAAACUAAUUUUUUUUUUUAUAUUUAUAAAUUUUUUCAUUUAAAACAUUUAAAUUUAUGGUUUUUCAAAACAAAAAUAAAUAAAUUAAUGAAGAAAAGAGAGGAUAUAUUGCCAGAAAUAAAUAAUUAUGUUUUAUUUUUUAAUAUUGAAAAAUAAUGCUCUUAGAAUUCCUAAAGAAAUGAUGAUUAUGCAAUUAGAGAAUAAAGCAUAUACGUUUCCACCUUUUCUUGGCGUGCUGGAAAGAUGAAAACAACAUAUUAAACCCUACACAAACUUCAAGGUGUGAAGUACAUGAAUCCAAGGAUUUCUUAAUUAGUAUCCAAACUUCAUCUUCUUGCAGUUAAGAAUGGAUCAAUAUAUAUAACUAGAAUUCGAUGCUGAUAAUGAAUGCAUACUUAGCUCCAUUUGCAAUCGGAAAAAGUAUAUAUAAAAUGACUUGGAUUAAUGUGAGUUUGAUUUUUCUGAUUCUCUGGGUUUUCUGGACACCUAGACUGGUAUCCAUGGCAAUGGAUUACUCUCUAGGAUCUAGUUGUUCCAGUGACAUACAAGACAGGUACCAGAAAUGGAUGGAUAAAUACGGUCGACAAUACAAGAGCAGAGAAGAAUGGGAGCGGAGAUUCACAAUUUAUCAAGCGAAUGUUCAAUACAUUGACAAUUUCAAUUCUAUGAAUCAUUCACAUACUCUGGCUGAAAAUAACUUUGCAGAUCUCACAAAUGAGGAGUUUAAGGCAACUUACUUAGGGUAUAAAACCGUUUCGAUUCCUGAUACAUGCUUCAGAUAUGGAAAUAUGGUUAAUCUGCCUACUAAUGUUGAUUGGAGACAGGAAGGUGCAGUUACUCCGAUAAAGAAUCAAGGCCAAUGUGGUAUGAACUUGUAAUACUCUCAUUCAUUCAAAUUAUCAGAAAUACGUUGAACAUGUUCUUUUUACGUCUGAUUAUAAGUUUUUUUUUUCCUAUUCCUAACAAGUACCCUAAACCCUACCUUCUAUCCAUUGUAAGUCAUUUCAUCGUAUUUGGAAAAACUUACCAAUCUUGAAUUUUCGACACAGGGAGCUGUUGGGCAUUCUCUGCAGUAGCAGCAGUCGAAGGCAUCAACAAAAUAAAAGCAGGAAAAUUGAUAUCUCUUUCAGAACAAGAGCUUGUAGACUGCGAUGUGACCUCGGGGAACCAGGGAUGUAAUGGUGGUUACAUGUACAAAGCAUUUGAGUUCAUCAAGAGAACUGGACUAACUACAGAAAUAGAAUAUCCAUACCAAGGAGCAGAAUCUGCAUGCAACGAACAAAAAGAGAAAUACCAAUUUGUGUCAAUAAGUGGAUAUGAAAAAGUACCGGUCAACGACGAGAAAAGCUUAAAAGCAGCAGUUGCUAACCAGCCAGUCUCUGUAGCAAUUGAUGCAGAGGGAAACAAUUUUCAGUUCUAUUCUGGUGGAAUCUUCUCAGGCAAUUGUGGAAACCAACUGAAUCAUGGAGUGGCAAUAGUUGGGUAUGGGGAAACUAGCAAUCAAGCUUAUUGGCUUGUCAAGAAUUCAUGGGGCACUGAUUGGGGUGAAUCAGGUUACAUAAGAAUGAAGCGUGAUUCAACUGACAGGCAAGGUACUUGUGGCAUAGCUAUGAUGGCUAGCUACCCCACCAAAGACUGAGCAUACUUCCUGAUGUUAAUUGAACUUGUCUACCUUCAGAGGUGAAAAAAUUAAAUUUGCCAUGCAAAUUUUUAUGUCUACUAAAGAUGCAAUAAGAAUUAGUAAAAGGUUAUUAUGUAUAAGCAAUAAAAGUCAAAAGAAAAUGAAGGAUUCAAGUACAAUAAAAUUUAAACAUAUUCAAGGAGUAUUUAUCGUGAAAAAUUCUUCUCUAAAUCUUCUCCACAUGCCAUUUGGAUUCUAUAUAUAUAUAUAUUUAAGAAUAAGAUAUAAAUAAUUUAUGGUAUCUAUAAGACCCCAGCUCUACCAAUCUGUGUCUUACAGCAGAAGCAAGUUCCACUUCCCCAAUGACAGUAAGCCCCUCAACAUCCUUUUGCCUAACCUUGAUAAUAUGGUGUAUAAACUCUCGGUCUCUCAUCCCCAUUCGUCACCUUCCCUGCUAAAAUAUACCCACGACACUCUAGACAACCUUCAACAAGAAGCUCAUAGCUCUUAAAUCCAACAUCGUGACUAUCACUCUAACAGCUCAAUGAUCUCAACUGCUCUUCUUACCUCUCGGUUUGCUCGUAACGCAGCCACAACGUUAAUAAUUGUUCUUUAUCCUAGCGUCAAAAUAGGCUGACGCGGACUAAUAAAAGUCUUUCGAUUAGUAAAACUACCAUAUUUUUGUCAAUAGUUUGCCAACCACUUAUUUCUAUCGUUUCUUUCCCUCCUACCCUAUUUUUAUUUUUGUUGUUAAUUUUCAAAAACACUAUAUAUAUAUUUAAAUAGUUCACAAAAAUGGGUUAAAAGGCAAUUUCAAUGUUGAAGACCCAAAUAUUAGCUAGGGCACACUAUUUAAAAAUAAGAAAAUUUGAGCUUUCUGCCUCUUUUCUUUCUUUUGCUUUUUUAGUUUUUCUCUUUCUUUUAGCCCAUUUAAUAAAGGCUAUAAUGAAUGACUAUUAAAAGGUUGUUUAAUUUUGUAGUGUAAUAGCCAUGAGACGGAGCCAAAGCUGCUAAAAACAUAGAUAGAUUUCAUGAGAUAAGGCCAAAGCUGCUAAAGCAUAGAUAAAUUUGUUCUUUAUCUCUAGAGAUGUGACAAAAAAGAACAACAUUCACAAAAUUGUUCAUAAAAAUAAUAUUCUCAACUACGAUCACAUUUUAAAUUGAAUAUUAAAUUCCACGAAAUCUAAUAAAUUGAAGUCCAAACUUUAAAAUCUUCCUGCAAAGCUCAACUAAACAUGAAUUGUUGAAUUAAAAAAAAAAGAAAAAGAAAAGACGUAUUAAAGGAAAUUUAUCAUCAUUGAUCUCAACAAAUAGACUAAUUUGACAAAGUCAUUUAUCUCUACAAAUUUGAUCAUCCUCAUAUAUAUAUUUUUUUCUACCCUCACAUUGGUUGUUUUCAAAAUUAAAACUCAAAUUCUCAACUUGAUUUUAUCUUUUUGUAUUAGUUACCUCGAAUCAUGUAAAACUCAUAUUACUUUUUCUUUAAACCACUUGUUUUUACCAUUUACAAGAACUUAUUUCAACAGGUUGUAUUUACUCGAGAAAUUAGUAAAUACAAAACUAAAAAUUGAGACACAUACGCCAUAUAUAUUAAAAUUCAUCAUCAAGAACAACCUAUUAAGACUGUAACAACAAAAGUUUAGAGAUUAAACUUGUAACUCAAUCUACUAUAAAUUAUUUAUUUAAUUAUGAAUCACUCACAACAACAUUAAUCAUUAAUGAAUCCCACAUUAGAACACAACACCUUUUAAUGCUUGAACUUAUUUUGAUGAUGAGAGACAAGAACACAAAAACGCAUAAGUGAUCAUCAUAGGGUUAGGCAGUACUGAGUCUUAAUUUUCUUUCUUGAUGAAGCAAUUUUGCAAACUUGGUGAGAGCAUCCCCAUUGCUACCUUCUCCAUCAACACUCUCAAAUUUUCCUGUUUCUAAAUUAACCCUUGAAACUGGUUUCUUUAGUAGAUCCUCUCCAAUCUUCACAAGCUGUAGUAAAUUUUCUGGAGUUGCUAUAUCCACUAAUGCAGCAUUCCCAGUUAAUGAGUCCUCCUGUGUUCGAUCAUAUAUACAUAAAUCUUUCAUCAAUAUUCUUCCCUUUUCAAAUCAAAAUCAUUAUGAAUUGGCUUUGAGACAAAAGUUGGAAAGUAGUUAAGUUAAUUACCUGAAUUCGAAGAUAGUUUUGUUGAACAUUUGAGGAUUGAAAAAGAGUGGAAACAUGGUAAUCAACCAUAUCAGAACUAGCAUCAGAAAAAAAGUCGAUAAUUGGGGUUGAACCACUUUGAAAAAUCCAACUAACAGCUCCCCAUUUUGAUGCUUGUGUUGCAUUAAAUUUCUCUUCAUGUUUACCCAAUCCAGUCCCUAGAGAUAGAACAAGCAUCCUUCUUGUAUCAUUUGCUUUUACUCUUGAGUUUUGAUGAUGAAUUGCUAUCUCCCUAUUUACGUGUGUUAUGGCUGCCAUUGUCUGUCAAAUUUAAUUAAUUAGCUAUAUCAUUUUUAAUUAAUUUAGAAAUUAAAUAAUAAUCAUCAUUCUUGUUAUGCUAAAAUAGAGAUACACUCACUGCAUCUUUUACCCAUUUAUAACACUAUCAUCAAUAUAAAAAAUUUGGAAUAAAAGAAAACAAAUAUCCCACUAAAAUAUAUAACAAGAGGAGUUUAGAAAGAAAAAAAAUAUUUUUAUGGAAAAUAUGUACUAUUUUUUUUUUAUUAGUUUUUUAAGAGGAAAAUUGUCUGAAUAGUAAAAUAUUAAAAUUAUUUAUAGAAUAUAGAAAAAGAAAAGAAAGAAAACUUUAAUGCAUUAAUAAGAAUUUAAAUUUUGUUAUAUUAGGUAGAUAAUUACAAUAUUUGGCUAUUUUUUAAAACGUCUCUUUGUUUGUUUUCUUACAAAUUUUUUAUGAAGAAUUCUCAUCUUUUAUCCUAACUAUAAACACUUGAAUUUUUAAACAAUUUUUAAGAAUAAUGACAAUUUUUUUAAAAAAAAUAACUGCAUUGAUAAUUAAAUUUAUAGCAACCUUCCUCGUAAAUUAAUUGCAAAUAUAUAGUAAUAUAAUCUAUCACGAUUAGAUUUCGAGAACUAAAUCUAAAUUUUGACAUAUUUUUUAUUUAUUUUAUAUUCACAUAUAGUCUUGAAAAAUUAACAUCCUUAUUAUGAUAACAGAGACCAUCUAAUUAGAGUAAACAUGUUUACUAUAGGUAUCACACAUGGGACUAUAGGAUAGUGGCCUAAAUUGGAAGAAAACAAAUCAAUUUGUCAUAUUAAAACAAAAUAAGGAAAAUUAGCAAAAGACAACAAAAACUUAAUUUGACAUUUUGUAGAAUAGAGAAAAACAAAAUAUUAUUUUUUUAAUAAAAAAAAUGUAUAUAAUAUAAUGAUGAAUGAGCAACUUGAUUGGUUGGGAAUUGAAGCCUCCUAGGCCCUUAUUCUUUUGUUAUUAUUACAAUUAUUAAUUGAAGCCAAAAUUCCAAUCUCCAUAAUAUAUAUCCCAUCUAAACCUCAAUUUGGAAGCAUUGUAUACUCAUAAUUGUCCAUACAUAUUUGUUAACUAAGCAACUUUAAAUUACAAAUAUAAGCUUCCUACUUUAUACUCAAAUUUAAUUAUACCCUUCCAAGUUUUUGAAACCUUCCACCUUAGUUAUGGAUUUAUCAUUUCCUUACGUUAUUUGUGUGGUAAUUCUACUUUAUUUAUUCCUCUCUAGCUAAUAAAAUUGUUUGUAUCGACUCUUUAUUAUUUUACGUUUUUUCGUCUAAUUUUUAAAAUAAAAUGAACUCACUGGAUUAUUAACUGCAACGGCACCAUCAAUGAGGUCGAAAGUGCGAGUGGCAUUUGUAACGUCGUCCUUAGUUUCAAAGAAAUGGGGUGGCAAGAACGUGGGCGCUGCCGAGGUCCCCAAGCACACAUCCGCCAGCCUUGGAUUCUUCAAUGCACUUAUUUUUGCCUGCAAAAUUCACACCCCUACUUAUUUUUUUAAAUUUAUUUUUUACAAAAAAAGUUAAUUUAGAAUUUGUGAAGUAAAAUUUUUAAAUGAUUGAUUACUAAAACAACCUCUAAUUAAAUUUUUUAAACUUAGUAGUUUGUUAUUGAAAUUGGAAUUAGUUCAAACUUAGGAUAGUAGAAAUUGAAUCCUAUGUGAUAACCACAAACUUACUCAAUUGUUACCGUCCGAUAUUAGUACUUGUAUAGAUUGAAAAGGGUCAAGGUUUACAAGUAAGAGUUUGAGAAUAUACUCUUUAAGUACCAGUACUAUAUUAUAAGGGUGACUCUUUAAAACUUACAUCAUUAGUGGUGAAGAUGACAGGUUGAAGAAUCUUGAUAUCAAAAGCUGGAAUCACAACAUUUGUCAAUGUUUGUUUCAGAGUUAAAUCUCCCACCAAAUCAUUCACCACUCUUCUCAGCUCCUUCCCAUCAUACUUGGGCCCUACGGCUUGUCCAACCAAAUUGAAGACUCCACUAAGAAAAUGGCUUCAAAUAAACAAACCACAAAAUCAAGCUCAACUCCCUUAACAAACCUGCUAAAAUAUGUCUCUAAAACAACACUAACAACCCACCUUCUUUGAGGAAAAAUCUUUGGAGUCUCUUUCAUGUAAAACUCUGAAAUCUUGUUCGCUGCAAACAACGGUCGAUUGUUGUUGUUCUUGUCUGGAGCUGUAAGCAUAGCUGUUACUAAUCCUCCUGUACUUGUCCCCGCAAUUACAUCGAAGUAAUCUGCUAAUCUCACUUCUGGAUCAUCCAUUUCCUAACAAAGUCAACUCAAAUUAAAAUCAUACGUGUGUUCCAACAAUGGAGAAUGUAAAGUUUUGCUCGUUUGUUCACCUGAAGUUUGGAUUCUAGAAAAGCAAGGAUGGUUCCGGGGAUGAUGCCUCUGACGCCGCCUCCGUCUAUGCUUAGAAUUGUUAUGAGCUCCCCUUUAUCAAAAUUAGGAUUCAUCUUUUCGUUCCUUUUUUUUUUUCUUUAUGGAAUGUGUUGUGGGAGAGGUUUGUGUUAUGAGGGUUAUAUGGAUGAGUUUUUCAAUUUUAAGCUUAUGGAAGGGAAUGGGAGUCUGGAAGUUGGUGAUAUUUAAGAUGCUAAGUAUUUAUUCCUUUAGUCAAAAUUGGUGACUAUAGUUGGAUAAUAAUCAAUACUGUAAUAAAUAAUGGAUAGAUGAGUCCAAUUUUUUCUAGGCCAUCAAUCUCUUUCAAGAGGUCUACCUUCUUUUUCAAGUUUAAUUGAAAAUUUAGAUCUACUCAAGUUUUGAACUCAAGUACUUAUUUGUUCUAAUCAUAUGUUUAAUAAAAAUGUAUUUAGAUAUGACAGCUUAAAAAACCAGCUUCCAUUAAGAAACAAAUGUUUGAAUAAUCACAUCUAUUGUCAUUAAAAAAAAAUACUUAAAUUGAUGAAAGGGAUGUAACAAGAUAAGUAGCUAAAUUUAAAUACCGAUCUUAAAGUAACUAAAUUAAAUGUCGAGUUUGUAUUGUAAAAUUAGCUAAACGAGAAAAAAUGAGAUCAAAAAUUCUUUAACUAAAAAUGUGAUCAAGUCAUGUUUCUAGUCUGUCUAAAACUUUGUCUACCUUUUGUUGAUCUAAAAUGGCCUUUUUAACAUUUUUUCUCCAAAUUGCAAAGUUUUUUUUGUAUCAACAUAUUUAAUUUUAAAUCUCACGCACACGUAAGUAUCUUAAAAUUUCAACAUAAAUAUAUAUUAGAUGAAUGUGAGUAUGGUUGAAUUUAUCAAAGGAGCUCCUUGCUCCUUUCAAAUAAUAAUGUCGUCACACACAUGCACGUAUGCACACAUACACUACAAAGUUGUAAGAUGGGUUAAGUUGAGGAAAAAGAGGGAGUCUCACACUUAAGAAAUCCUAUUAAUACAUAUAGUUUAGAGAAGCAUUAUCGUGGAAGUGAAAGAAUUUCAAACUUAAGGGAUUGAAAUUGAAUAGGAAAGAUGUACAUGAGAAACUAGAGAGACAAUCUAUCAAUAAUAAACCGUUUGUUAUAAUUGUUAAAUUUGUUAUAUAGCGUUGUUUCUUUCAAUCAAAACACAAUUUUCAAGACGUGAGUGAUAAAUAUUGUAUGAAAUUGAGUUACCAAUCUUUGUAUCUCACUAUCUCUACUGUUAUAUUUUGAUAACACGUUAUUCGUACUUUGACUAUACUUUGCCUUAGAUUCAUUUUGAUUUUUUCAAUUUUAAUAUAUAAUAUUAUCACAUUUAAUUCUUAAUAUUGUAUAAUAUGUGUAAGCUAAGAACUCCUGUUGGAUGCAAAUUGAUACGUUAGAAAUCUAUAGACACAAAAAUUGAGAAUCUACAAACGUAUUAGGUAUUUUAAUUGGAAAGUUUAACCUAAGAACUAUGAUACCCAAACUUCAAACUUUAUGUAAAUUUGUGUGUCAGUGAAGUUUUGAAUUCGCUAUUGCUCACAAGUUACUCUUCAAACACUUCAACAAAAGCUUAAAAAUUAAGAAAUUGAGAGCAAAGUAGAACGACUACAAGAGGAGAAUAAGAGAAAAAAAAGAAUCCUAACUCCCAAACUCUCUCAUGAAACUUCUUACAAACAAACAAAUUGAAAGAAAAAAAUUAGUAAGUAAAUAUCCAAAUAUGUAUGUUUGAGAUCCUUAACCAAACCUUCAAACAACGAGUCCCCAACAUCAUUUCUAUUUUCUACACUAACAAGAUAUAAUACUAAAAAACAAAGUUCGAAAUGAUGAUUUUGUUUAUGAAAGAAAAAAUAUUCGAGAAACAGUCAAGAUUUUAAAAUUAAGGCCUUAAAGUGUUCGUAUGAAAUUGAAAGGAUAGAUGUGGUGUGUGAAGGGCAGUGAAGGGGUCAAAAUUUAUGAGCCGUGGCCUAAACAAAGACUAAUUGAUCAAUUAAUGUCAUUAUAUAAUAAGCUUUUUUCUUUUUCUCAUUACUACAAUUAAUUUAUGGGUCAUCUACCUACCAAUGAACGUCAAAUCUCAAUUAAAUAUUUAUGAACGUCAAGUCUCAAUUAAAUAUUUUUGUCAAAAUAAAUCUAGAAGCUUUUCAUAACUAUGAAGGUAUUAAAAUCAUAACUAUUUAUAUUUUCAUUCAUACAUUCAUAUUUACAUGUUUCUAUAGAUUCAAUAUCAAAACGAUUAUGAAUCAAUAUUUAUUGCAUUAUUAGAAAUUUUUUAAAUAAACCGCAAACAAGUAAACAUCCAAAUACUACUAAUAUAAAUAUAUAAGAAAAAAUAUCAACUAAUUGUAUCAAACUAAUUAUCAAUUUAACCAUAAUUUUUUUUAUAAAUAUGUCUAUUUAACCUAUAAACUACUUAGAAGUUCCAUUGGUAGGGAAGGCUUCCUCGGUUAAAUGUUGGGACAAUAUCACUGACAAAAUCUACAAAAAGCUUAAUAGCUGAAAAUACACUUAUAUAUCUAAAGGAGGAAAAAUUACCCUUAUUAACUCAACUCUUGCCAGCCUCCCUACAUAUCAGCUAUCUAUCUUUAAAGCUCCAAACAGUGUAUUCAUAACUAUUGAAAAGAAUUUGAUAAAUUUUCUUUGAAAGAACACAAAUGAGGAAAAUCACAUUCAUCUCUUGAGAUGGCCUAUAAUCACUUCUGCAAAGGAUAAAGGUGGAUUGGGAAUCACAAUAUAGAGUUAUGGAUACGAACUUUGCUCUCAUGUGUAAAUGGUUGUAGAGAUUUUUUUUAUAAACAAGCGCCAUUGUGAAAACGAUUGAUUCUUGCAAAAUAUGAUCAAGCCUACAUUGGUGACACUCCAACAAAAGGUAAAUUCUGUAGCCUUAAAGCUCCUUGGAGAUCUAUCACCAAAGGAUUGGACUGAUUCCUAACUCAUAUUCAAUGAAAGUUAACAAUCGAGAAAGCCUCUCUUUCUAGAAAGAGGCUUGGAAUGAAAAGAGCCAUCUUUGUUUAUAUAGACCGAGGCUAUUUGCUCUUCCUAAGACACAAGGGGGCAGUGUAAAGGAUAUGUUGGAACCCAGCUGAUUAAGAUUGGGAGCUCCUACCUAGAAGAAAUUCUAGAAGAUUUGAGAUCCAACAGUUGGAAUAAGCUAAAAACUCACCUAGCUGCCCCUGUCACAGUCGUGGUCCUGAUACUCCAAUAUGAAAGCUGAACUCAAAUGGCCAUUUUAGCAUUGCCUUGAUAAAAAAAACCAUACACACAGUUGAAAACAAAGAGAUGAAUCUAACAUUGACCCGAGUAUAGUAAAAAAUCUAUGGAAGUCGGAUAUCUCUAAAAAGUUUAAAUUCUUUGUUUGAUGGUCUCUGCUACAUGAGUGCAUCAAUACAGCUGACAAACUUCAAAGAAGACUGCCAAAAUGAAGCCUCAGCUCAAAUUGGUGCAUUCUUGCAAAGAGAGCUCGGAAAGUAUUAAUCACAUUUUUCAUAUCUUGCAAAUUUGCAAAAAAAAGCUUUGGAAAAAAGUUGAACUUUUGAUUAAGUGGAGUAACAACAACCACAACUUAUGUGUAAGGUGCUAUGUUUCAUCAAGCAAAAAAAAAAAAAAAAAACAUACAGAAAGGGCACUUUAAAUUUCAACAUCAUUGCUAUGGUCAUCUGGUCCAUUUGGCUUGAAAGGAAUAAUAUAAUCUUCAAAAACCAUGAAAAAUCCUUUGUGGAUAUUUGAGAAGACAUUCAACCUCUCACUCGAUAUCGGGCUAGCAGAUCUCUUUUUAUCAACUAUAGUGUUAGUUCUAUUGCUUUAAAUAUUCAUGUUUUUGUCUAACAACUUGUGGUUCUUAUUUGGACUUAUCUCUAGUCCACUUUUUUUUUUAUUUCACUCUUACUGUACAAUAUUAUUCUAUAUUAUUAAUGAAGUGAAAAUGACGAGGGUGAUAAAAAGGUGUCCACCCAGUAGAGAUAUCUCAGUGCACCUACUAACUCAUCCGUAUUUUUUUAAAAAAAUAAAUAAAAUAAACAUCUCUUUAAUCUUUAAAAAUUAUCAUAAUAAGUUAUUAAACUCUAAAUUUUGUGUCCAAUAAUAAAUUCAUGAAUUUUUGAACGGUGUUUAAUGAGUUAUUCUUUGGGGAAAUCCAAACCUAAAAAACUCGUGUGUUUUGUGAGUUUUUUUUUAACACAAUUAAAAUAUGGUUAUUGUGAUCAAAUUUUUGCAUUAGAUGUUUAGACAUUAAACAUUAAAGUUAUGAUAAUUAUGAUGAAUUGACUAAUGGUAAAUAUAGAGGAAUGGGGUUCAUAGAAAACAAAAGCAGUAAUGUGUUAUAGAGUUAAGCAGGUUGAUUUUCAAAACAUGAUCUAGUUUCUGAAAACAUUAGUAAAAAUAGAUAAUAAAAAAAUUUAUAAGACCAAGGCCCUUUUAGGUAACUAAUCUACUCUUUAUUUUUUAAUUUUUAAAAUUAAGUCUAUUUUUAGUUUAAUUUUCUUAUACCAUCUAUUGGGUAUGCACGAGUUGAAUUCUUGUCAAAGUUUCAAAAAUAAAAAUAACUUAAUAAAAACUAACAUCUUCAAUUUAGUUUUCAAAAGUUUCUUUUAUUUUUGAAAAUAUUGAUAGAAGUAAAUAGCAAAACAAAAGCUAACAUGAGCUUAGUUCAACUGACACCUGUAUGAUUUUUCUGUUGACAAGAGGUUUUAGGUUCAAAUCGAAUUUGGAAUUACAAGUUCGACUUGAAGUUUAAAGUUGGACUAAAAAUUCACCUAUGGUUAUUUAAAAAUUUCAAAUCAUUGUAAAACAUGAAAAUAUAUUUAAUUAGUUUUGGAAAAAAAAAUAAGGUCACAUUUUGAUAAUCAUUUUAUUUACUUCUAAAAAUUAAAUCUAUUUUCUCACGUUUUCUUAUCGUGGUAUUGCAUUUUUGUUAGGUAUAAGAGUUGCGUUGACUUUUUAAAGUAUAGUAAAAGUAGAGAUAACACCCAUGAAAUUUAAAGAUAAUAGAGAUAUUGGUAAACUUAACUUUUAAAAUCUAAAAAAGAAAACAAAUUUUGUAUGAAAUAACGUUGAAAUAGUUACUAAACAAAAUUCAAAUGAUUAUCAAACGAGACCUUAAUUUUUUAAAUGUCAAUUUUCAUCCCACUUUUGAACAUGCAUAACACGCAUCUAAAUACUUUUUGGAAUACUUUUUGGAGCUAUUCCCUUAUCACAAAACUGAAAUAUGUAUGUACAUAUAAAAUAAAUAAAGCUAACAUAUCAACUCAUUAAGCAAUUUUAAUUAAAAAAAAAAAAGAACAAAAAUGGAUUCUUCAACUAUUUAUUUAUAUGUAGCCUUUCCCAUAAAACUAAAAUAUAUAUUGUUAGAUAAAUAACAUUCUUAAAAAAAAAUUAGAAUAUACACGUGAUAGAAUUUGAACACAACAAUUUCACAUUAUUUCCUUGAGACGAUUUUAAUACUUACUUCUGUAUUUAAAUUUAAUUUCUUGAGUAAUUAUUCUUCCGAAAAGAGAGAACAAACUUUUUUUUUUUUAUGGAAGCAACAACCCUGUCCAUAAGAUCCAAAUGAAACUGUGUGAAAAUAAAUUGAAUUUUAAAGACUCUAAUAAAGAAAAGAAAAGAAAGUUAUUUAUCAUUUUGUAUCCGCAAGUCCACGAGAUAGUUUUCAUUUCGUCACGUUUUGUAUUCAUGGUUAUGGUAAAGGACAUAUAUCCUUUCAUUAAAGGGUUGUAUUUUGUCCUUUACAACGAAGAACACAUCCAACUUGAACAUAUCCUUACGUAGUUAAUGUGAAGGUGCGUGUGAGAGUGGGAGAAAAUGCAUGUGAGCUUUGUACCAAAGAAGAAAGGUUACAUUGAAAUGAUUGAUGGUCUUUUGGAUGAGAUGAUGAUGAAAUUUACACACAUUUGAUUUCAAACCUCAAAAUCUUUGGUCAAAUCCAAUUUAGGUUUAAUUUAUCCAAUAAUUUAAUAGUAUAUCAAUGCAUGGUGUGAGGAGUUUGAAUGUAGAACCUUCUAAACCUCUUGUUUUUUAAUACAACAGUUAAAUCACUGCUUGAAUCCAAAAACUUAAAUUGGAGGAGAAAAGAGGGUGAGAGAGAGAAAUGAAAAAAAAUAAAGAAAUUUCAAUUUAUUUUAUUUUAAAAAAGAUAUCCAAAACAAUUAUAAGAGUUAAUAGGAGUGACAAAGAAACACUAUUAUGGGUGUAAUAUUGAAUUAAAAACUUUUAUUACUCAAACUCAAUUUUAAUCGUUGAGAAUCCUAUAUUAGAAAAAUCAAGAUCUCGUAUGUCUUAUAAAAUAAAUAAAAUAUUCCUUCCGUAGAUUUGUUUUGAAAUAGAAUUUUCUAUAAGAAUUUUAUACUAUCCAAUAUGAUAUCAGAAAACUAUAGAAUUUAAGAAAGUAUAAUAUGUUCAAAUAAAAAGAAAUCGGGAUCCAAAUUUGAUAAAAAAUGAUGAACAAAAAAGAUGCAUCAUAUAAUAUUUUACUAUUUUUAUUAAAGAAAUAAGGAAGUUAAUUAAUUCAUUCUUUAUGUUAGUAAACACACAACACUAAAAUUUAAAAAAAGAGACUAAAAAACUUCAUUUAAAAAAAAAAUCAUCUUCAAUCUUGAGAGUUUCAAAUCUUAAAAUCAUCAAAUUAAAUAAAAUAGAAUUGACUCGAAAUGUGUGAAAAGUUGAAAAAGUUUGGUAUAAUUUAUAUAUUAAAUUUGUAUCAUAUUAAUUAUUAAAUGUUUGCAUUCUAAUUAAAUCUUAAUAUAUAACGAUAAAUUAAAUAACGAGAGUGUAAUAAUAACCCGACAACCCAAAAAAUGAUUAAUUAAAAAAUUAAGAAAAGAAAACCUAAAGCUCAAUUUUCUCUCCAGCUCCACGAUACUACCUUAUUUUCCAUCUCCACUAAAAUCUAACCUAAAACCACGACAACCAUGACCACGACGAACGAGGAUGGCAGCGAUGAACAACGACGACUGAUGGUGACCUUCGGCGACGACCGACGUCUGACGGUGACCCACUCCUACGAGGCUCGUGAACAGUAGAGAUUUAGUAAAUAAAUAUUGAUGCAAAUGAGAAUAAGAAUAGUGUUUCAUGUAUAAGGUAUUGAAUAAGUAGUUUCCGUGUGAAAUGGUUUUGAAGAUGAAAAGGGUUUACAAGCAACAACAUCUAACAACUUAAAAAAGGCUUUUCUUUCUUUGUUUUAUUAAGAACCCAAGACUAGUUUGGUGUGAUGUUAAAAUCCACGUGUUGUUCACCGAUUUUCUUCCGAUAAAAUUUGCUUCUAUGUAGCCCAUAUCUUUUAGUAACCUGAUCAUCCCUUCAUUUGAUGCCCUUUCAUUAUGGCUCUUUCCUAUCACUUUUUCUAACUUUUAACUUGACAAGGCAAAUAUGUGUUUCUACGUGGAUCUUUGCUAUAAAAAAGGGUAAGUUCUUAUAUUGGAAACCUUACGAAGAAAUUACUAUUAUUUAUUUUUUAUUAUUUUGUAUUUAUGACCAUAACUGCACAUCAUACCCUGCAUAUGCAUUUUCUUAAAUGAAAAUAUAAUAUGCUUGAACAGCUAGCUUCAUCAAUUGAAACAUAAUUCUUGAGUUGUCAUGCAGUCUAAUAUUGAAACUCUUGCUCUUUUCUACAUGCAGGAAAACAUUUAUUAAGGACAUGUUAUGAAAGAAUCCAAAGCAUAGAGUAAAUGUUAGCUUUUCCUCAUAUUUAUAUUUUACAAACUUUAAGAUUUUUCAUAUUAGAUAUAGAGCUAGCUAGAACAAUAUCUUCAUAUGGUAGAAGUUUGAAUUAUUAUAAUUAAGUAUGCAAUGGCUAACUAUAUGUAUUGUCCAAUGAUAUAUGCAAUUUGUUAAAAUAUUAGUUCUUUGAUGGAAAAAGUUCGGGUUGAUUCAAUUGUUUAAUUAAUAUACAUAGUUUAGCAACUUUGUGUAAUCUCAAAGGCUUUACUUGUAUGUGUGUGAAUGGACUUCAAAACAGGUGCAAUAUAAUUAUAUGAAUAUUUCAAAUUAAACAAUUUUUCAUUUGGCAGAAAAAAAAAUGUUAACAUGCAAAACGUGUCAAGAAUAAACAAAUUUUGCUUGACGCGUAAAAACUGUCAAACAAAAAACUCCUUUAUUCUUGACAUUGGAUUAUUUGAUGUGUAAAAAGUGUCAAGUAAUCUCAUAUACUUAAUGUUUUUUAACCUAUCAAGUAAAAUUAUCGUAUUUGACGUUUAAAAACUGUCAAGUAAACUUUCAUUAUUCUUGACAUUAGAUUACUUGAUGCAUGAAAAAGCGUAAAGUAAACAAGUACUUGAUAGGUAAAAAGAGUCAAGUAUUGCCAGUUAUGUAGUAGUGACUUUCUAUUUCAUCGUCUUCGAUCGUCUCUCCUUCUCAAUCUUUAUUGUGUUGUUGUCGGCGUUUCAUUGUGUUACUGUCGACGUUCCCUCGGUCUUUUUAGGACUAUAAAACAAUACAACUCAACAACUCCAUCCAAUCCAACCUAUAUUUUACAGGUAAGGUCGUUGGAAAUAUUAUUUGGGUUAUUCGAGUUGUCAACUCAAAAAUAUAGAUUGGAUUGAAAAUUAUGUCCUCAUCCUAACUCAACCUGUUUACACUCAGUUAACUCAACUUUUCAUUUAUUUUAUAUUAAAAUGGCAGUAUAGCGGUAAUUAAUUAAAAAUAGAAAAGGAUAAAGUUGUCUAUAGAUUAUAGAUAUUUAUGAGAACGGGGAAAACGUGAGAAAAUUUGAUAGACCAAACUCUACAAAAAUGGACGGCCAAAACUUAAUUAAUCAAUAACUUUAUGUACUCAGUUCUUAUCAUCACUUUACAUUUCCCAUUUCAUUUUCUUGGCCUUCAUUCCAUUUUUCAUUAAAUCAUCAAUUUUGUCUUUUAGAAUUUUAAAUUGGUGUUUACUUUUUUUAUUCAUAAAUUUUUAAUUUUUUAAUUUGGACCUACAUGUUCAUUUCAAUUUUAAACAUAAAUAUAUAUAUAUAUAUAUAUAUAUAUAUAUAUAUCUUUGGUAAUUGUGUCUAAUAAAACAUUAAAUUUAUACAUUUUGAGGAAUUCCUCGACCUUUUCCACAUAUAUUAUAUUUAAAUUCACACAUAUGGAUUAAAUAGAAAUUUGAAAUGUUAGAUUAUAUAAAAUAAAAUUGUAUAUCCAAGAGAAGAUUGAAUAUAUUAACUAGGAAUUGUUAGAAAAAAAAGUACGAUUUGAAUACUUUAUUAAAACUGAUUAGAUACAAAAUUAAGAGUGUAAUAAUGACUUAUUAUAUAUUUUGAAAAAAUGCAUAAACAAAAUAUUGCAUAAAGUGAUAUUAAACUUUAACGUAAAAUUAUUAUUAUUAUUAUUUUUAUCUCCAUCCCUCCAAAUAAUUAUUUUUUUCCCUUCCUCUUUCCCACAUGUUUAAAACCCUAUAUUUAUUGUCGUCCUUCCAUCCUGAUCUCCUCCACAUGUUUAUUAUAUGUUUUUUUCCUCUUUCACUCCAAAUAUUUUUGGUAUUUAGAUUGACUUUUCAAACCUUAGCAUUUUAAAAUUGAGAAAUUUUAAUAAAAUUUCUAAUGAAUGGUUGUGUUGAAGAAGAAGGGUGUACAUUGACAGAAUUGACAGGAUAAGUUGGCUGCUGUCGUUGAUCAGAAGAGUUAUGAUUUUUUUGCCUGAUAGCUCAAGGUUGUUCACAUUGGAUUGGUGCCUUCACGAUUCUCAAUUCCACUGUCUAGAUUGAGAGCUGAAAAUCAAAUAAUUCCUUAUUGGCCUUUUUGUCUUGAGUUGAUCUGCCAUGCCAUGCAUGCCAUUGUUAACUCUUAAAUGUCUCCUCAGUUUUAGAGUUUAGAGCCACAAGGUUAAGCUCCUUCUGGGUUGCAUGAACUAUAUAGUUGUACUUUAAAAAACAUACACUUAGUUAUUAUUGUAUCGUGUGUUAAUAAUAAUAAUAAUAAAUAAAUAAAUAAACUAUGAAAACACAUAAAGCACAUAGAACACAUUAAACUUUGGUAAUCAAGUUCAAUGAUACAACAUCUACAUGGAGGAGGCUUUUAGUUCAAUUGAAAAAGAUCAUUUUAUAAAGACCGAAGAGGAUCACAAGUACAUAACUUAUCAAGAAUCAACUAUCUCAAAUCAUAUGACUUUUACAAGAUAAAUGAUUAGACUCCCCUAAAUCACUUAAUGUGUGAACAAAGAAUUUGAUCUAGACUGCUUCCCCUAGAUCAUAUGCUUCAUGCUUCACCCUUGUGUCUCAAUGUGCAAAUUCUCCGUGUAAGAGACUCCUAAUAAUAAUCUUUAAUGUUAGGCUUUCCUAACUUGCACAAAUCUUCUCAACCAAGUGACUCACAGUGCCACAAGCAAAGUGUGUGACACCACACAAAUUGAUCAGCACAUACAUUAAAAAAACUGUCUCAACACAUAAAUAUUGAUGCACGUUUGCCCACACUUCUAUCUUUCAAACCACAACAUUACCACACGGCCACAAGCUUAUAUUUUCACACGUAACAAAAACAAAAACCAAUUAUUCUCUCAAUUUAUUAAUAAAUAUUAACCAAUUUAAGAGAAAAUAUAUUAACAACCACAGACAAUAUAAUAGCUUUAUUAAACCAAAAUAUCUUUAUUAAUAAAUAUGAAUCAUAUAUUUAUUAAUAAAUAUAAACUUGCAUACUAACCAAAUCUUAAAUGAUAACUACAUAUCUUAAUUAUUAAUAAAAAAUAUUAUUUAUAUAUUUAUUAAUAGAAUACAGAAAAUUAAACUCCAAUUUUGUCUUUAAUAAAAUAAAACAACCAACCUUAAUAACAGUACCAAACAAGACAAUGGAAAAUAAAAGCAACAGAAAUUACAGCAUAAAUUAAAAUCAGUCUUACAAUAAUCUUCUCUAAGACCAAUUACCAAAACCCACCGUCAAUAAUGACUAAAAUGGUUGAAAUCAGGGACAAAUAAAUUGGUGAUCAAUUAAUAUUGACCAAGAUGGAGAAGCGAUAAAUAAUGAUCAACGACACACUUGAUCAAUAGUCAUCGUCCAACGAUCAAUUCAAGUAUAGAGACUAAAAUUAUACUAUAUUAUAACUAUAAUAGGGUAUAAAUUAUAGUUUACUAAACUCAAAUAAUUAAUUUGGUAAGAUGAACAAUCAAUCAUGACGUUUAUUUAUUUCUAAAUAUUGGAACAUAUUUAAAUAUGAAGCAAAUUUUAGAUAAGCAUGCAAGUGGGUAAGAUAUUGUUAUUUUUGGAUCUGGAGAUAAAAUAUUUGGAGCAUGUGAAACAUAACAAAUAAAAGAAAAUUAGUUCAGAGUUUUUUUUGGUUAUAAAAGACUCUUCUUUGGGGACACAUAAUCCCAGACAACUCAAAUUGCAAAAGCAACAUAGUAUUCUCUUUUUCUCUCCUUCCUCAUAGACCCAUCCUUUCGAUUUACACAUAAACAGUAUGGCAGAUAAAUUAGCUACAUUUGAGAAGGGAAAGAAGAUAACAAUUUUAAGUAUAGAUGGUGGUGGCAUUAGAGGCAUCAUUCCCGGAACUAUUCUAGCUUUUCUCGAGUCUAAACUUCAGGUAAUAAUAAUAUAUAUAUACUUAUAUAGUACUUUAUUUUUCUUUCAAAACUAAAGGUUGACUUGAAAGUAUCACUCGUCUAUACUAAAACUUUUUACGAAUUUGUAAGAAAUGUUUUGGUUUUUAUUGAUUGGACGAACGAUUUGGUUAGGAAUUGGAUGGACCAGAUGCAAGAAUAGCAGAUUACUUUGAUGUAAUUGCUGGUACAAGCACAGGUGGUUUGGUUACUUCCAUGCUUACAGCUCCUAACGAGAAUAAUCGACCUUUGUACGCUGCAAAAGAUUUAACCCGCUUCUACAUCGAACAUGGACCAAAAAUCUUCCCUCAACGAAAGUGAGUAGUUUUCUUUUCUCUUUUCAAUUUGCAAAAGCUUUCCUGGAUAAGAAAUGAGUUAUUAUAGCCUCCUAAAUUUUAUAUAAUUGUGUUAUAAUAACUUGUAUUUGUGGUGUAAAUUACUUUCGUUUAAAUAUUAUUUACUGUAGCAAGAGAUAUGUAGUUAUUAUAAUCUCGUCGUUUUCGUUUGCUGAUAUUGAUGUUUUUGUGUGAAAGCAGUUAUUUCUUAAGUUCAGUGGUGAAUAUGUUUGGAAAAGUUAUGGGCCCAAAGUACGAUGGCAAAUACUUGAGAUCAUUGAUAAACAGAUUGCUUGGAGAUAUAACACUUAAGGAAACACUAACGCAAGUCAUUAUUCCUGCUUUUGACAUUAAGCUUCUUCAACCUGUGAUUUUCAGCACACUCGAUGUAUGAAAAUUUAAUUAAAAACGAUUUGAUAAACAGUUUAUAUUCCUUUAAUUUUUUUCAAUAAUAAAUAAAUUGGAGGAAUUAAUUAUUCAGGCAAAAUGGGAUGCGUUAAAGAAUCCAAAACUGGCUGAUGUUUGUAUCAGUACCUCCGCCGCUCCCACUUUCUUACCUGGCCAUGAAUUUCAAACUAAGGACUCUAAGGGAAAUACUCGUAACUUCGAUAUGGUUGAUGGUGGAGUUGCUGCAAAUAAUCCAGUAAGAUCGACCUUCCUUCCCCAUAUUAGAUAAUUAGUUAAAUUUGUCUCUUUACUCAUAAAGCUUAAUUUGUUAAAUUUGUCUUUUUACUCAUAAAGCUUAAGCUUCUGGAUUGAGUUAUUUGUGAUUUAAGACUCGUUUUGGUGGAUGUAUAACUAAUAAUAUAUAUAUGUGUGUGUGAUGGUUGAUUGUUUAGACAUUGGCUGCAUUGACUCAUGUGACAAAAGAGAUGAGCAUCUUGAGAAAAAGAAGUGAACUUCUGAAAAUAAAACCAAUGGAAUCAAAAAGGAUGUUGAUCCUUUCUUUGGGAACUGGUGUGGCUAAAAAUGAUGAGAAGUAUAGUGCAGCUAUGGCUUCCAAAUGGGGUAUGCUUGGUUGGAUCUAUCAUAGAGGAGCAACACCAAUUGUUGAUAUUUUUAGUGAUGCAAGUGCAGAUAUGGUGGAUUAUCAUAUUUCUAGCGUCUUCCAAUCUGAACAUAAUGAUAGAAAUUAUCUUCGUAUUCAGGUAUACAAUAAUUUUAAAUUAUGAUCUUCGUUAAUUAUAACUAAAUCAAAUCAGCAUGUUUUUGAUAAGGAUAUUGUGUGAUAUCUGGAAACAGGAUGACACAUUGAGUGGUGAUGUUUCGUCCGUGGAUAUUGCAACCCAACAAAACUUAUUAAAGCUCAUUGAGGUUGGAGAGAGUUUACUGAAGAAACCAUUAUCAAGGGUAAAUUUGGAAUCUGGAAAGUUUGAGGCACUUGAUGGAGAAGGAACUAAUGAAAAAGCACUUGCAGAAUUUGCUCAAAUGUUGUCUGAUGAGAGGAAACUACGAUUGAGCCCUUGAGGCUAUCUAAUUCCCAUUUCAUCAAUUUAUGCUUCUUUCAUGUUUUCAUCUUCAACCCCCCUUUUUUUUCUGUCUUCCAUAGAUACGUCACUUCUUUUAAGCCUUUCAUACUUUAGUCCAGUAAAUUGUAAAAAUACUUGUAAUAAUUUUUUUACACCCUGUUGUUGUUUUAUUUUUCUCUUUUGUAUUUCACCCUUUCUAGUUUUAAUCGAUUCUAUAUAUUGUUGGCGUGGUUUCCUAGAAACUUUCGUAGAAUGUACAUAAAUGUGGACAAAAUAAGUAAAGGACAAGUGAAUAUGAAUUUCUGUUGAGUUCUAGACCUAGUUUGGUACACAGAGCCCUGCCAAUCCAGCUAGAUGGAUAACAACACUCUGUUGUGGGCAAAAAUGUUUUAAUUUUAACAAUUUAAAACACUUUUUACACAAGUCCACACAUAAAGGUUUUAAUAUACAACGCUUAGUUGUAAAUCACUUUUUAGUUUCUUUUUUCAAAUUAUUUAAUGUCGGUUUAAAACCAAUAUUAAUGGCCUUUUGUGUUGGUUGACAACCGACAUUUAUGCUAGCGUUAUUAAAGGUCUUUAAUGUCGUUUCUAGUUUGAUGUCAGUUUAAAACGACAUUAAAGGCCUCAUUAAUGUCGGUUUAAUAGAACAAUUUUGAAAAAGAAAAAAAAGGUCACAUGUCCAUAGGCCACAAUGUGAAAUAUAAAAAAUAUCUCAAUCAACACACAAUUAAUUGGUUACAUGAACACGAGUAAUCUUCUUCUAGACGAUCGUGUAGUUAAUUUUAAACAAUGGAAAAAUAGUCUUCAAAUUUAAAUGAUUAGACGAUAAACUAUAAAUGAUGGCGAGACAAUUUCAUACAUAAACGAUCACAAAAGAAGAAGAAUAAGAAGUAAAGAAGUGCACAACUCGUCCCACAAUAUUAAUAUUCAAAACCAACAACGAUACAUGAAAUUUAUAAAAAAUAAUUGUACAUAAUGAGUUUUUCUUAUUUUGUUAUACGAACCAUAAAUAUUUAGGGUUUUGUUACAUUUAUCUAAACUAUCAUUAUACUUAAUUUUAAUUUUCAAUAAUUAAAGAGCUAUUUUAAAUAAUAAUAAUGUAUUAAAACUAUUUGCAAAAUUUAUGGAACUAUAUGUUCUAUAAAUAUAAUUUUAUUUUUAUGGCUCUCUAUAACAAUUUUUCAAACUAAAAGUUCACCUGAUGGAGCAUAAAAAAAUUUAAUCUAUUUAUAGAAUAUUGCAAAAUCAAUCAAAUUCUAUACAACACAUUAAAAUUUGACGAUUCGUUUUUAAAUAUUUAUUUUUACUUUAUUUUAUAAAUAUUUUCAAUUUUUUAAUUCAUUUCUCCAAAGAGAAUCUAAAAUUAUAUAUUAUUAAAUGACUUCCCUCUUCCCUUGGUUGAAGGAAAAUAUGAAACAUAUCUAUUAAAUGUGUGAGUUUGAGUUAUAUUAUUGAAUCUGGGAUUGCCUAAGAUCAAUCAAAUUUGUGUAAUAAAUCUCUCACUAAUCGAGGAGGCAAUAAAGGAACACAUAAUAGAAUUAGUGAAAAAUAUACCUUUAAAGAUUACAAAGCUUCAAUAUUACAUUAACUAUACCUUUAAAGAAACAACCGAACAAGAAAAGAGAAAUAAUAGAAUUAGUGAACUACAUUUAUAAAAGCAAAUUUUUAAUAUAAGUUUAUUAUUGAUCAUUUUAAAAUUUUAGUAUAUUUUUAUAAAUAUUGAGAUUUUUGUCCUUUUUUUUAAAAUUCUUUUUAUAUGGAAAUAUGUUGUUGGGAUUCAAAUAUUUGAAACCUAUAUUUUAGGAAUGUAGAUUUGUAUUUGUUAAUGAAUAAUUUGGAGAAGAUACAUUCGUAAAAAUAAAUAUACAUCUACAAGUGUGUGUAUAUACAUAGUUGCGAUUAGUGGUUGACGAUGAUAGGUUUCGAUUCAAUCCUAUUGAAGGUAUGGUUGUUGUCUUUCAGUAUAUGAAUUUACAUUAAAGAUAGUUGACAUAUGUGAUGAAAAGUGAGUGAUAAAAAAUAUGAAUGAAGAUCACUUAAUUGAAAGAACUAUUUCAGGGAGAGCUUGAACUUAUCUUUCAAGAGAUCCAUGAUUAUUUUCAGGUGAGCUUGAGUUUAUUUUUAAGUUAUGGUGAUAAUUUAUUAAAGUAGCUUUAGUGUUAAGUUACAAACUUUUGAAUCUCAAUAAUGUUUCUUAUCCGAGGCAAAUGAACUCCCAAACGUAGGUUGUAUUUGUCGAAUUGAGUUACCAAAGUCUUCUGCGUAAUUUGUCACUUUUGUGCUUUAACUAUUUCUGUAGUUAAUUGCUUUAGAUAUAGCUAAAUGUAAAGUUAUCUUACUUCUUUAAUAAAUAUUUUCAUAAUUUGUUAUUUCACAUAAUUAUAGAAACAACAAAAACACAAUAAAUUUGUUUUAAGAAAAAGGUUAAUAUAUAUAUAUAUAUAUAUAUUAUAUAUAUAAUAUAUAUAUAUAUAUAUAUAUAUAACAAAAAUGAAAAUAUUUUAGGUUGUGUAACAAAAUAAAAUAAAGUUCAUCAACCCUCGAUAACUUGGUGAAUUUUCUUUUAUAAAUUUCAUAUUUGUUCUUUCAGAACUUCUUCAUCUUCUUUUUUGGAAUUUAUCCUUCUUCAUCAUAACUCUCAUCUUUGGCGUGAUCUUUUUCAUAAAGACAAUAUUUUUUUCUAAUUCUUUUUUUGUUAUCAACUAUUGUGUCAUUUUUUUUCUUGUUUUCUUUUACCAAACAAUUGUUUAGAUUUAAUAUAAGAUCAUGUACCAAAAUUGACUGGAUUGGGAUUUGAUAAAAGAUUGUUUUCUUAUACUAUAUGUAAUCAAUUAGUUGUAGGGUAUUUUUAUUAUUUCAUAUCGUGGGCUUAUAGACUUCUAUAUUUUCGCGUUUUGGUGUGUUUUUUAAAAAGUCACCUAAAAAUCAAAUUUAGGAGACAUUUCUUUUAGAGAUGUGAGAAAGAAAAAAAAAAUCCUCUAUCACAUGUCAUAUAUCACAAAAUUGAGAAACAAAGAAAUAAAAAAUAUUAGCAAAAUAAAUAAAAAAAACUUCUAUCACAUGUCUUAUUUUCCCCCUCGACGAUGAGAAUAAUAAUAUUGUUAAAAGAAAAAUUAAUACAAUGUAUGUUAGUUGUUGGUUUAGUUUGACUUUAUAUACUAUAUAAAUGUAUAAACAAAUUUUAAAUAUAAUGUUACUUGAUAUAAUUUUGAUGUAAUAUAAGUGUGGAAAGAUUGAGUUGAUUUAUGAAUGGUUGGUGUUAUAAUAAAAUUACUAGUUAUCAUAAUAACAACAUUUAUGAGUUUUUUCAAAAAUAAAAAAAAUUGACUUGAACAAAACCAUUAAAAAAAAUUACACUUGAUUUUUAUAUGAAUUGUAUAUAUUUUAUCAAAUAUUUUAUUUUUCACAAUUUUCUCAAAAUUUAUCGUUUCUAAACCCUUAUUACUACAUGAUCUAUCAAUGAUAGAUUUUUAUUUGUAAUAAACUUUAAAGGAAAACUUUUAAAAAUUGCAAAUUUUACAAAAUACUUAUAACUUAUAGCAAAAAUUUUAAAUUCUAUCCCUAAUGGUCACUUAAUGCUACAAUAAUAGAACUAUCAUGGAUAUAAUCUAAAAUUUUUGCAACAAUUUGUAAAUAUUUUAAUUUAGUUUGUUAUUUUUUAAAAAUGUCCCUAAUUUGAAAAUUAUAUUUGAAUAUUUUUUUUUGUAUAGUAUUAUAUUUGUGAAUAUUUUAGAUGAGAUUGUUAUACGUGGACAACUCCAUCAAAUCAAUUAAUUAAUUAUGUGAAAAUGUGAAUAAUUUUCUUCAAUGAUUGAGAAUAUUAAAUUAGAGCCAAUUUCAAACUGGCAAGUGGGAAAUAUAAUUUUGGUGAUAAAAUUAAAAAAAGAAAGAAUCACGUGAAACAUAAAAUAAAAAGAAGAGUGGAAAAUUAUCAAAGUAAUGAGGCAUAAUUUGCUAUAUUUACAUGAAAGAAGAGUGCAUAAUUUAAUCUUAAUUUUAUUUCAAACUUUGGAUUUGUCUUUUUUCCAUAUAAAAGACCCUUUGGAAACAAGAAAUCUUACACAUAAUCCAAAACUCAAAUUGCAAAAGCAUCGUAUUGUUCACUUUUUUCUCCCUCCCUCUUAGAAACUCUCUCUUCCUUUUCAAUUUAGAAACACAACAUGGCAUCUCAUGACUGUGUGAAGGGGAAGAGGAUAACAAUUUUGAGCAUCAAUAAUGGUGGUGACCUUAGAGGCAUUAUUCCUUGAACUUUUCUAGCUUUUCUCGACUCUACAUGCUAGAUAAUAACAAUAAACCUUCAAUUCAAUUUUAUGUUUAAAAAUAUAGUUCAACUAAAUGUUAGUACAUUCAACUUGAUUACAAAAUAUUAAAUGUUGAGGAUCCCAUGAUUAAGGAUGAGCAUCCGUUGGCCAUAAUCGAUUUUCUGGCCAAAAUUUCAAACCGAUAGUGAAUUGAUUAUGGUUGGUUUAGUAAAUGUUCAAACCGACUUUGAUCACAAAAGAGUAUAAAUCGUUUAGGUUGGUUUAAACCUUUGAAAUAUUUUUUAAAUUUUUGUCGAAUUGUUUAAUUAGGUUGGUUGUGUUAGCAUAAAUACUUUAAAUUUAUAUAAUAGAUUAAUGUAAGAUCACUCAUGUAUGUUGGAUAAUUUUGUCAAAAGAAAAUAAUAAAUUUCUUUUUAUUAACGUGGUUAUUUAAAAUAAAGGAUAUUACUUAAAGAUAGAGAUAUUAUUUAAAAAUAAAAAAAUUUCCUUCGUAGUAGAAAUAUUUUAUCUAUAUCUUUGCAUAAAAAAGUUAAAGAGAAGAUAUAUUAGUGAGAUCUUUAAACAACUAAGCUAUGGGCUUAGAUCUGUGUGCACAUUGAUGGAAAAUUAAUUUCAGAGAAGUUUUCUCUUGAAUUAUUAUUUGGGAAGGUAGUCAUUGCCUUCUUUAUGAAGAUGGAUUACUGAAGUUCUGCAAGUGACGUUGCACCCGUUGAUAAGAAAUAUAAAAGAAUACUAAAAUAGUUGACUACGGUCAAUGAAUUCACGGGAGCCUGAGUUUAUCUUCAAAUAGAUUCAAACACAAAUUUAGGUGGAGUCUGUCUUUGAUUAAAUUUCUGUUAUUGUCGCCACAUGCCUGAGACGAUGCGGAGCGGCUGACGUCCUCAAAAGAGUUAGAUUUUUAAACAAAUAGGAGUCGCCACAAAUUUUUUUACGAUGUGAUUGGACAUCGAAAUAAAGUAAACAAUUUUUAAAAACUGGUAUGUGGAAAAUAGAGUUGAGUUCGAGAGUCAUUUGUGUGUGGAAAAUGUAUUAGGACCCCACAACACCCAUUUAGAAAAACAGUGACCAAAUUUCAAAUCUCGAAUUGAAAAUAUAUUUUUUUUAUUUUAAAAUUAUUGUCUUAUUUUACCUCUCAUUACUCCAAUAUUGAAGCAAUGAUCUCAUAAAAUAAGUUGAAUAAUAUUUCCUUAGUUAGACUAUAUAUUGAAGGAAACAUCUCACCUUAAGAAAAUGAGAAAUCAUUACAAUUUCUCAAAGUGUAUCAUGGACUAGUCUUCGAAUAAAUAUUUUUUUAAAAUAUUGAUUAAAUUCAUUUUUUCUUGGGAUCAAAUCUCGGACUCCCAAAGAUAUUGAUCACUCACCUUAAGAAUUCUAGAAAAUCAGACUCCCAAAUUUCCUAGAUUCCAUCAUAGGAUUUUUUUUUAGCGAAUUAGAAGUGUGUUAUUAAAAAAGUUGAUUAUGAAGUAUAAAUUUAUAUUUUAAACUCUUUUUUAAAAAAUUAAAUAGGAUAAUUUUAAAGUAAAAAUUUCUUAACGGCUAAAAAAGAAAAUUUAAGAAAGGCUUCAAAAUUAGGUCAAUAGAAAAUAAUGAGCAAAGAAAUCAAAUAUAUUAUACAACGAAUUAAGAAGUAACAGAAGAUUUUAUUUUUUUAAAAAUACUGAAAAUCGAAUCUUGAACUCCUAAAGAAACGAUUCUCUCACCUCAAAAAUUUAGAAAUAACGGACUCUCAUAUAUUUUUAAUUUCAUCGUCGAUUUUUUUUAGAAUGGUAGAAUAUAAAGAUAAAUAUGAUGUAAGAAAAAAAACAAUUAAUUGAUAUAAAAUACCGUGGUAAUAUUGCAAAGUGUAAACGAAAUAUUCAUAAAUUUAAUAUUACAUGAUAAUAAUUAUUAUACAUGCAACAAAAAUAAGUUAAAAUAAAUAAGAAAAAAAAAUAAAAACCAUAAACAACAAAAAAAUAAAAAAAGGAAAGAAGAAAGAAAGGAAAGAAAGAAGGAAUAAAAGGAAAUGGUUGUAAAACGAGCAAAUAUGCUUAAUUAGUUUUGAAAAAAAAAAGGUCACAUCUCGAUAAUCAUUUUAUUUAUUUUUUACAAUUAAAUCUAUGUUCUCAUAUUUUCUUACCGUGGUAUUACAUUUUUGUUCAGCGUAAGAGUUGGGUUGAUUUUUUAAAGUAUGAGUAAAAGUAGACAAAGCAUGGAAUUUAAAGAUGAUAGAUAUGUUUGUAAACUUAACUUUUAAAAUCUUAAAUAAAAAACAUAAAACAAAAUUUUAUCAAAUAACUUACUAAAAAAAUUCAAAUGAUUAUCGGACGAUACCUUAACUUUUUCAAUGUCAACUUCCAUAAAAUUUUUGGACAUGCACCACACGUAUCUAACUAGAGUAGAAACUUUUUAUUUGAAAAGUAACUUAUGGAGCUAUUCCCUUUAACACAAAACUAAAAUAUGUAUGUAUUUAUAAAAUAAAUAAAGCUAACAUAUCAACCCAUUAAGCAAUUUUAAUGAACAAAGAAAAUGGAUUCUUCAACUAUUUAUUUAUAGGUAGCCCUUAGCACAAAACUGAAAUAUAUAUUGUUAAAAAAAAUUCAGAAAAUUACACUAGAUGAAUUUGCAUUAUUUCAUUUUACUCACUCCAACAUUUAAAUUUAAUUUUUUGAGUAAUUAUUCUUCAAAAAAAGAGAGAACAAACUAUUUUUUUUUUUUUAUGGAAGCAACAACCCUAUCCAGAAGAUCGAAACGAAACUAUAUUGUGUGAAAAUAAAUUGAAUUUUAAAGACUCUAAUAAAGAAAAGAAAAGAAAGUUAUUUAUCAUUUUGUAUCCACAAGUCCACCAUUUGGUCACGUUUUAGUUAUUUAUCUUUCUGGUAAAGGAUAUAUAUCCUUCCAUUAAAGGGUCUGUAUUUUGUCCUUUAUAGUGAAGAACACAUCGAACUUGGAAAACCAAAUUAAUUUUAUUCAUAUGUUCAACUAUGGCGUACGUAGUUAAUGUUAAGGUGCGUGUGAGAGUGGGAGCAAAUGCAUGUGAGUUUUGUACCAAAGAAGAAAGGUUACAUUGAAAUGAUUGAUGGUCUUUUGGAUGAGAUGAUGAUGAAAUUUACACACAUUUGGUUUCAAACCUCAAAAACUUAGGUCAAAUUCAAUUUAGGUUUAAUUUUUUUUAAAAAAGUUAUAUGAUCAAAAUAAUCUUUAGUUAUAUCUCAAUGAAAGUUAUUAACUGCAGAAAUAGCUAAAGCAUGAAAGCAACAAGUAACGCAUAAGAGUUUGAUAACUCAAUUCGAUAAAUACGGAUUACAGAUUACAUGUAGGGAGUUUUUUUUUUGCUCAGAUAAGAAAUAUUAUUAAGAUUGAUAUGUGUCUAAUUUAAUACUAAAGCUACAAUAAUAAUAUCUCUACAACUUAAAUGUAUAAACUCAAACUCUCCUGACGGUAAACGUGAAUCUUCUAAAAAACAAGUUUAGGUUCUCCCUGAAUUAAUGGAUUGACUUCUCAAUCAUGUGGUCUUCAUUCAUAUUUCUUAUCACUCAUAAUUUAUUGCAUUGGUGUUAAUAUAUCAAAAGGCAACAAUCAUACUACCUUCAACAGACUAACUUGAUGAAGCAAAAAUUUGUCUUAAUGAAGUUCGGGUUAGUCGUCUUUUUCCACACGCAACAAUCGCAAUGAAAACCACACACACCUAUAUAUUUAGUAAACAACACUAAAAUUUAAAAAAAAAAACAAAAAAAAUUCAUUAACUUUUUUUUUUAUCUUCAAUCUUCAAAGUUUCAAAUCUUAAAAUCAUCAAAUUAAAUAAAAUAGAAUUGAGUCGCAAUGUGAGAAGUAUCAACAAGUUUUAUAUAAUUUAUAUAUUAAAUUUGUAUCAUAUUAAUUAUUAAAGGUUUGCAUUCUAAUUAAAUCUCAAUCUAUAAUGGUAAAUUAAAUACGAAGACAAUUCAAAUAAUUUGGACUACUCAAUCCAUUUAUAAGAGUUGAAUUGAGUUAGUUUAAAAUUUGGGUUUGGUCGGAUAAAUUUUUUUUAGUUGGGUUGGAUCUCAGGUUGAGUGUUGAAAAAUUCGGUUCAACACAAUCUAACUCGAAUUAAUAUAUAUAUAUAUAUGAAUGAUGCAUUUAACAAAAUAAAUUAAAUUUUUUUAGAUAAAUUAAAAAUAUAUUUAUAUAUUAAAAUUUUAGAUUCUAUACAUGAUACUAGUCAUAAUUUGCUAUAGGUUAUAAAUGUUUAGUCAAAUUUGCCAUUUUUUAAAAAAAUUUCUAUAUAUAUUAAUUUUUAUUUUUCUAUAUUUAUGUUUAUAUUAUAUUUUAUUAUUAAUUUAAGUAAAUAGUAAAUUUAAGCCAAGCCUCAUAUCUCUCUAGCCCACUCUCUUUUUCUUGGCUCGACUUCUCAUCUCAUACCUCUCAGUCUUUUAAGAGUUUAUAAAACAAUACGACUCCACAACCCAACUCAAUCUAACCUAUAUUUUAUGGGUUGAGUUAGGAAUAUUAUUUAAGUUAUUUGGGUUGUCAAUCCAACCAACCCAAAAGUAUGAAUUGGAUUGGGAAUGUCCCCAAAGAACCUAACUCAAUCCUACUCGUUUACACCUUUGUUAAAUACAAGAUGACUAAUUUAAUUUGACAUCAAUUAUUGACCUAUCUAAUGUCACCCUGUUGAAAGGGAACUUGAAAAGUUUUUUUUGAAUAAAUUAAAUUACAUUACCAACUUAAUUAAUAAUUCAUAAAUUGAAUGUAUUGAAUUUUAAAGUAUUAAUUUAUUUCAUAUGAAAAUGAGAAUAAAGGUGUAAUGAAUUAAAAUGGAAAAUGACAAAGUUGUCAGUUAAUUAAUUAUAUAGAUAUUGAUGAGAACGGGGAAAACGUGAGAAAAAUUGAUAGACCAAACCCUACAAAAAAUGGACGGCCAAAACUUAAUCAAUAAUUCUAUGUAUUUAGUUCUUAUCAUCACUUUCCAUUUCCCAUUCAUUUUCUCCAUAAUUCUUCCAUUUUCUUCGCCUUCAUUCCAUUUUUCAUUAAAUCAUCAUUUUUCUUGUCUAGUACAACAAUAAAUUUAUAAAUUUUGAAGAAUUCUUCACCUUUUCCACAUUUUAUUCACACAUAUCAAUUAAAUAGAAAAUUUACAUUUUAGAUUAUGUAAAAUAAAAUUAAUUUUAUAUCUAAGAGAUGAUUGAAUAUAUCAACUAGGAAUUGUUAGAAAAAAAUACAUUUUGAAUACGUUAUUAAAACUUAUUAGAUACAAAUUAAAAGGGUAAUUGACUUAUUAUAUUCUGAAAAAAAUGCAUAAACAAAAUAUGCAUAAAGUGAUCUCUUUAUCUUUAUUCUCCACCUUCCAUACUGAUCUCUUCCACAUGUUUAUUCUGUGUUUUUAAUUUCCUCUGUCACUCUCAAUAUUUUUGGUAUUUAGAUUGACUUUUCAAAACCGUAGAAUUUUAAGAUUGAGAAUUCUUUAUAAAAUUUCUAAUGAAUGGUUGUUGAGGAAGAAGGGUGUACAUUUAUACGAAUUGACAGGAUAAGUUAGUUGCUGUAGUUACUCACAAGAGUUGGUUUCUUUGCUAUCUCUUUGCCUGAUAGCUCAAGGUUGUUCUUUGCUAUCUCUUUGCCUGAUAGCUCAAGGUUGUUCACAUUGGAUUGGUGCCUUCACGAUUCUCAAUUGCACUGUCUAGAUUGAGAGCUGAAAAUCAAAUAAUUCCUUAUUGGCCUCUUUGUCUUGAGUUGAUCUGCCAUGCAUGUCAUUGUUAACACUUCAAAGUCUCCUCAGUUUUAGAGAGUCUAGAGCCACAAGGUUAAGCUCCUUGUGCGUUGAAUGAAAUAUAUAGUUGUACCUGUGAAAACACAUACUUACUUAUGGAAACAAUGAAUAUGAAAACACAUAAACCAUAGAUAAUACAUCAAAUUUUGUAACUCAAUUCCAUGACACAGAAUCUACACCUAAAAAUCUUUAGUCCAAUUGAAAUGAUUAUUUUAUAAAGAUUGAAAAGGAUCACAAGUACAUAACUUAUCAAGAAUCAAAUAUCUUAAUCAUAUGACUUUUCCAAAUAAACGUUUAGGCUUUCUUAAACUACUUAAUAUGUGAACAAAUAUAAUUCGUUUAGAUCGUAUGUUUCAUGCUUCACCUUUACGUCUCAAUGUGCAGGCUCCCCCUUGUGAGAGACUUCUCAUAAUAAUCUUUAAUGUUAGGCUCCUCUAACUUGCACGGAUCUUCUCAACCAAUUGACUCACAAUGCCAAAGUAUUCAACAUCACACCAUGAGUACUUUGUAAAAGGCUUUCUCAACACAUAAAUAUCUUGAUGCACGUUUGCUCACACUUCUGUCUUCAAACCACAACAAUAUCACACGGCCACAAGCUUAUAUUUUUUAGGUCACACGUCGUAACAAAAACAAAAGUUAAUUCCCUCAAUUUAUUAUUAAAUAUCAAUCAUAUAUUUAUUAAUAAAUAUUAACCAACUUUAAGAGAAAACAACCACAACCACAACCACAACCACAACCGAUAUAAUAUCUUUAUUAACGAGAAUAACUUUAUUAAUAAAUAUUAUCCAUAUUAAUUCCAUACCAACAAAACCUUAAGUAGCAGUACCAAAGUAAGACAAUCAAAAACAAAAACAAGAAAUUACAGCAUAAAUUAAAAUCAGUGUUACAAUAAUAAUCUUCUGAAUGAGGUUACCAAAACCCACAAUGAAUAGUGACUAAAACGAUUAAAAUCAGUGAUAAAAAAAUUGGGGAUCAAUGAUCCAGAUGAAGAAGUGAUGAAUAAUGAUGAUUUGAUUAAUAUAGAGACUAAAAUUGAACGUACGAGAAAAUAAAUGAUAGUUUACUAAACUCAAAUAAUUGGUAAGAACCAUCAAUCAUGACGUUUAUUUUCUUUUUUUAAAAAAAUUAAAUAUUGUUGGAACAGAUUAAAUGUGAAGCAAAUUUUGGAUAAGCAAGUGGGGAUCGGAUCGAAGACAUUAUUUUUGGCUAUGGCGAUAAAAUUAAAUAUUAGGAGCACGUGAAACAUAAUAAUUAAAAUAAAUAAUAUAGUUGAGAGUUUCUUUUGGUUAUAAAAGACCUCUUUGGGGACACAUAAUCCCAAACAACUCAAUUUGCAAAAGCAACUUACUAUUAUCUUUCUCUCUUCUUCCUCCUAGACCCAUCCUUUCUGUUUACAAAUAAACAUUAUGGAAGACAAGUUUGCUAAAUUUGAGAAGGGAAAGAAGAUAACAAUUUUAAGUAUAGAUGGUGGUGGCAUUAGAGGCAUCAUUCCCGGAACUAUUCUAGCUUUUCUCGAGUCUAAACUUCAGGUAAUAAUGAUAUAUAUAUAUAUACUUAUAUAGUACUUUAUUUUUCUUUCAAAACUAAAGGUUGACUUAAAUUAGUGAAAGUAUUACUCGUCUAUACUCAAACUCUUUACGAAUUUGUAAGAAAUUUUUUGGUUUUUAUUGAUUGGACGAACGAUUUGGUUAGGAAUUGGAUGGACCAGAUGCAAGAGUAGCAGAUUACUUUGAUGUAAUUGCUGGUACAAGCACAGGUGGUUUGGUUACUUCCAUGCUUACAGCUCCUAACGAGAAUAAUCGACCUUUGUACGCUGCAAAAGAUUUAACCCGCUUCUACAUCGAACAUGGACCAAAAAUCUUCCCUCAACGAAAGUCAGUAGUUUUCUCCUCUUUUCAAUUGUCAAAAGCUUUCCUCUGUAAGAAAUAAAUUAUUAUAGCCUCCUAAAAUAUUAUAUUUAAGUGAUUAUAAUUUGUAUGCAUAGGGUAAACUAUUUUAGUUUAAGAAUGAGAAGAAAAUAGUAAAAAUAAAAUAGAAAAUAUAAUAAAUUGCAAGUUUUGAAAUAAUGUUCACCAUACAGAUGUGCGGUUAUUCUGGUCUUACCGUUUUCGUUUGCUGAUAUUGAUGUUUUGUGGUGUGAAAACAGUCAUUUCUUAAGUUCUGCGGUGAAUAUGUUUGGAAAAGUUAUGGGCCCAAAGUACGAUGGCAAAUACUUGAGAUCAUUGAUAAACAGAUUGCUUCGAGAUAUAACACUUAAGGAAACACUAACGCAAGUCAUUAUUCCUGCUUUCGACAUUAAGCUUCUUCAACCUGUGAUUUUCAGCACACUCGAUGUAUGAAAAUUUAAUUAAAAACGAUUUGAUAAACAGUUUAUAUUCCUUUAAUUUUUUUUCAAUAAUUAAUAAAUCGGAGGAAUUAAUUAUUCAGGCAAAAUGGGAUGCGUUAAAGAAUCCAAAACUGGCUGAUGUUUGUAUCAGUACCUCCGCCGCUCCCACUUUCUUACCUGGUCAUGAAUUUCAAACUAAGGACUCUAAGGGAAAUACUCGUAACUUCGAUAUGGUUGAUGGUGGAGUUGCUGCAAAUAAUCCAGUAAGAUCGACCUUCCUUCCCCAUAUUAGAUAAUUUGUUAAAUUUGUCUUUUUACUCAUAAAGCUUAAUUUGUUAAAUUUGUCUUUUUUCUCAUAAAGCUUAAUUUGUUAAAUUUGUCUUUUUACUCAUGAAGCUUAAGCUUCUGGACUGAAUUAUUGGUGGUUUAAGACUCGUUUUGGUGGAUGUUUAACUAAUAUAUGUGUGUGUGUGUGUGUGUGAUGGUUGAUUGUUUAGACAUUGGCUGCAUUGACUCAUGUGACAAAAGAGAUGAGCAUCUUGAGAAAAAGAAGUGAACUUCUGAAAAUAAAACCCAUGGAAGCAAAAAGGAUGUUGAUUCUUUCUUUAGGAACUGGUGUGGCUAAAAAUGAUGAGAAGUAUAGUGCAGCUAUGUCUUCCAAAUGGGGUAUGCUUGGUUGGAUCUAUCAUAGAGGAGCAACACCAAUUGUUGAUAUUUUUAGUGAUGCAAGUGCAGAUAUGGUGGAUUAUCAUAUUUCUAGCAUCUUCCAAUCUGAACAUAAUGAUAGAAAUUAUCUUCGUAUUCAGGUAUACAAUAAUUUUAAACUAUGAUCUCCGUUAAUUAUAAUUAAAUAAAAUCAGCAUGUUUUUGAUAAGGAUAUAUUGUGUGAUAUCUUCAAACAGGAUGACACAUUGAGUGGUGAUGUUUCGUCCGUGGAUAUUGCAACCCAACAAAACUUAUUAAAGCUCAUUGAGGUUGGAGAGAGUUUACUGAAGAAACCAUUAUCAAGGGUAAAUUUGGAAUCUGGAAAGUUUGAGGCACUUGAUGGAGAAGGAACUAAUGAAAAAGCACUUGCAGAAUUUGCUCAAAUGUUGUCUGAUGAGAGGAAACUACGAUUGAGCCCUUGAAGCUAUCUAAUUCCCAUUUCAUCAAUUUAUGCUUCUUUCUUGUUUUCAUCUUCAACCCCUUUUUUCUGUCUUCCAUAGAUGAUGCGUCACUUCUUUUAAGCAUUAUUUCAUACUUUAGUCCAAUAAAUUGUAAAACUAUUAAUAAUAAUUUUUUUACACCAUGUUAUUGUUUUCCUUUCUUUUUUAUAUUCCACCCUUUCUAGUUUUAAUCGAUUGUUGGGUGGUCUGGUAGAAACUUUUCUAGAAUGCACGUAAAAAUGUGGACAAAAUAAGUAAAGGACAAGUGAAUAUUUGAAUUUGGAUUAGUUGAAAUCUAGACUAGUUUGGUACACAGAGCCCUGCCAAUCCAGCUAGAUGGAUAACAACACUAUUAUGUGUGGGCAAAAAUGUUUUAACAAUUUAAAAUACUUUUUACAAGUCCACAUAAAGGUUUUAAUAUACAUGUCCUACCACUUGGGUUAUAAGACAUUUGAUGUGACAAAGUGCUUCCCACAUAUUGAAGAGAAAGAAAGAGACAUCUUUUUGACAAGUUAUUUCUUAUACCGUGACAAGUCAUUCCCAAGAAAUGACAAUCUAUUUUAAUAUACUUGUAAAUCUCAUCCUUAUUUUGAGUUGUAAAUUUUGUUUUUUAGGAGAAAAGAUGAUAGAGAAGAGAUUGAUGGUGAAAGAAGAGAGAGACUAAUGUUUAGUUGUAAAUCGCUUUUUAGUUUUUUUCUUAGGUUAAAAAUCUAUUCUCAGUGGCAACCAAUGGUAGGGAGGCACAAUUUAGUUAGUAAAAAUAAAAUUUUAGAUGCAUCCAUAUAAUAUUCAAAUCAUAUAAUAUCAUUAAAAUAAACCAAACUGAGUGGCAUACUAAUAGUGAAAAAUUCAGACUUUCAUGUAAACUUCUUAUUCAAGUUAAAAUGUGUUAGCUAUUAAUGUCUAAGUUUGUUUCACAUAGAGUUGUAGAGUUUUAAAAAAUAUAGAUACUAAAGCACUAACAUUUCGAUUUGUGCGUCUAAAUUAUAGUAUACCAAACAUUUAUUUAAAAAGAAGAUAAUUGAAUACAAAAUUAAAUUGUAAGGUUUAAUUUUUUUUCUUUUUUAUUUUGAGGUUCAAUUAGAAAGAAAAAAAAAAUAUAUAUUUUUUUAUCUAACACAAUAUUUUAAUACAUGAACAUUUUAGAUAUUAAAUUGAAAGUUUAUAUAUCUAUAUAUAUUAGGCAUUUUUUCUAUUAGUCUUUCGGAGAAUAUUUGCAAACACAUAUUAGGCCACCAAGAGGUUGAAAAAAAUCACACCCUUUUGAGUCUUGAUGUUUAUUAAAAGAUGUGUUUGCAAAGGUCUCUUAGACUUAAUGCAUUAUUUGUCCAACCUGUGAGAUCCUUAACUUUGCUCAAUGAAGAUUUGACAAAGAGGCAGUGGAGGAAGAGGUGGUUUGUGGAGAUUUGUAGAAGAUGCAUCUCUGUCUCUUGGAUGUCCACACACAUGUGAGAUUUGUAGCAAGGAUGACAGAUUGAACAGACAAUCUACCAUUACUAUUGAGCUUUCAAAUGGAACAAUCUAUUAAUUUGAUUGUUAUUCGCAAGGGAAGAGAGGUUUUCUUUGAUGUUUCUCCACAGUAAUGCUUCUCUGUCUCUCAGAGUUCUUCUAUGGUGUAAAUCCCACCCAUUAGUUACAGAGUUCCAUGUAUCCCUGAGGGUGCCAUUUUGCUGAGUUGAGAGAGCAUAUAAUCUAGAAAGGGAUAUGUGUAAAGAGGACUAUAAAUGCUCCAGUUUCUGUGCCAAAACGAUAACAUCCUGCCAUUGCUUAAUUUCCAACCCAAUUGAGAUUUACACCAGUUUGAACCCUUGCAGAUGGACCUCCAUGGAGCAUUGAGACUUCUGUGCUUAGCAACGGUUGGCAAAUCAUCCAUAGGAGUAGUUCAAAGCUAAGAAGUUACCGUUAUACUGACUUGCAUGUAACUCUUCUAAAAAAAGAAAGAAAGAAAAAAAAUAAAAACUUGAAUUUAAUUUUAGCAAAUGAUAUUUAGGGCUUUUUCAAAAAAUAAAACAAAAGGGGAAUUGUCAAAAAUAACCAAUUUGACCAAAUAUUUACAGCAUAUAACAAAAAUUUUAGAUUUUAUCAAUAAUAGACGUUGAUAGCCACUAAUAUGCUUCUAUCAGUGGCAUUGAUUGAUAGUGACUAUGAUUGAUAGAAUUCAAUAUUUUGUUAUAGCUUAUAAAUAUUUUAAUUUAUUUUGCUAUUUUUAAAAAUGCCUCUAAAACAAACCGAUAAAAUAUUUAAUAGAAAAAUUUUGAAAAAGGAAAAAAGUCAUAGGCCCACAAUAUGAAAUAUAAAAAAUAUCUCAAUCAACACACAAUUAAUUGGUUACACGUGCGAGAGUAAUCUAUUAACAAUAAAAGUAGUUAGACUGUUAUUUUCUGUUGUAUUAGUUAAUCUGUUAGACAGUUAUUAGUUGUUGCCAAGCAUCUAUAAAUACCAAGCUUGGUUGAUGUAAAUAUUUUUCACAUACAGAAAUAAAAGAAUUUACUGCAGUCAGUAAGUUUUUCUCCCAAAUUCUGCUUCCUCUGUUAUGGUAUCAGAGCUAUUUCCGCAAAGAAGAGUUGCAGAAUAAAACUCGAACGUCCUUUACCCUCGUGCAGUCUACAGUAAUGACGACACCUGAGAGUUCGACGUCCGGCAGCUCCAACUACUCAGUUCCGAUUACCUCUUCUGAUCUUGACGCCCAACUAAAUCCCUUCAUGCUUCAUCAUUCCAUCACUCCAACCACCAACCUUGUUUCUACACCAUUGGCAGGAUCGAAUAACUACAUCAUGGAGUAGAGCAAUGAUGCUGGCCUUAUCUGGAAAGAACAAAGUUGGGUUCAUCACCGGCCUGAUCAAGAAACCUUCAGAAAGUAAUCUAUUAUCCGCUUGGAAAUGCAACAAUGAUGUGAUAGCUUCUUGGAUUAUCAACUCUAUUUCAAAAGAGAUAGCAGCAAGCCUCGUUUAUAAUGGAAACGUAAAGGAGAUGUGGGAUGAAUUGAAAGAAAGGUAUAAACAGUCCAAUGGACCUCACAUAUACCAGUUACGAAAGGACCUAGUAACCACUACACAAGGAAGUUUAUCAGUUGAAAUAUACUAUGCAAAAAUCACCACUAUAUGGCAGGAACUUGUGGAAUAUCGUCCUAUGGAUGAAUGCACUUGUGAAGGAUCAAAGAAAAUGAUCGAUUUCUUGAAUGCAGAAUUCGUAAUGACCUUUCUCAUGGGAUUAAAUGAAUCCUAUUCGCAAAUUAGAGCCCAAAUUUUGUUGAUUGAUCCUUUACCUCCCAUAAAUAGAGUCUUUUCUCUAAUCAUCCAAGAAGAAAGACAAAGAUCCAUUGGAUCUUCACCCUCCAUUGAGAGCAUCACAUUGAUGGCUAACUCUGAAAGAAGAUUUUCUUCUGAUAAAUCCAAGAAGAAAGAUACAAGACCUAUAUGCUCCAACUGUGGCUAUAAAGGACACACUGCUGACAAAUGCUACAAGUUACAUGGCUACCCACCCGGACAUAGACUUGCCAACAACAAUAAUUCUGUCCAUCAAAGACAGAACAACACAAUCCAAGAUGGAAAUGACAAAGUGACAGAAGUUUCUAAGAGGAAUCAAUCUGCCUUUUUUGCUAGUCUCAACAGUGAUCAAUAUACACAGCUUCUGGGCAUGCUUCAAACUCAUCUCAACACACCUCAAAAUGGUGAGAAUUUCAAAAAUGAGACUACACACAUAGCAGGUACUUGCCUCUCUAACUCACUCAAUGAUCCCUUAACAUGGAUCAUUGACUCUGGUGCUUCCUCACAUAUUUGCCAUGACAAGUUUAUGUUUACAAAUCUCUAUAGCGCCCAGAAUAUGUUUGUUAUUUUGCCCACUAAGACUCGUCUAAAGGUUGAGCAUAUAGGAGAUGUUUUCAUAUCAAAUGAUCUAGUCCUGAAAGAUGUACUUUAUAUUCCUGACUUCAAGUAUAACCUGCUGUCAGUAAGUACUCUCCUCAAGGAUGACAAAUUUGCCAUAUCAUUUUUGCUGAUUCUAAUUGUCUUAUUCAGGACAAGUGGCUUUUGAAAACGAUUGGGAAGGCUGAAUUAACUAAUGGGCUCUACCUACUCAGAAUGAAAAAUGAAAGAGUUAAUUGCAUUCAGCACACUGCACUAAUGUGUAAAGUCUCGGCCUCUAUGUGGCAUAAACGGAUGGGACAUCCCUCUAUCAGCAGAAUAAAGGAGUUAGCUAAGAUGAUAGAAAUUUCUGACUUUCCAAAUUGUAAAGAAGUCUGCCAUAUUUGUCCCUUAGCUAAACAAAGACGUCUCUCUUUUCCUAUAUUGAAUAACAUUGCUGAAAAUAUAUUUGAUCUUAUACAUUGUGACAUAUGGGGUCCUUUCAAAACCCCAACACAUGCUGGUCAUUCAUAUUUUGCCACCAUUGUAGAUGAUAAAUCUAGAUACACUUGGGUAUAUCUUUUGAAACAUAAGAGUGAUAUCCUACAAGUUAUUCCUAGAUUUUUCAAGUUAAUUGAAACCCAAUUUUCAAAAGUCAUCAAGGUCUUUCGAUC